AGGUGGGCGAAGGCGGGCCCCCCUGAAACAGAUAACUGACACCUCNGAAUGCGAAGGCGUGGGGAGCCAAACAGAANUAAGAUANCCCUGGUAGUCCACGCCCGUUAAACGAUGUCUACUUGGAGGGUUGUGGCCCUUGAGCCCGUGGCUUUUCGGAGCUAAACGCGUUUAAGUAGACCGCCCUGGGGAGUACGGUUCGCCAGAUUAAAACUCAAAUGAAUUGACGGGGGCCCGCACAAGCGGUGGAGCAUGUGGUUAAUUCGAUGCAACGCGAAGAACCUUACCUACUCUUGACAUCCAGAGAAGCCAGCGGAGACGCAGGUGUGUCUUCGGGAACUCUGAGACAGGUGCUGCAUGGCUGUCGUCAGCUCGUGUUGUGAAAUGUUGGGUUAAGUCCCGCAACGAGCGCAACCCUUAUCCUUGUUUGCCAGCGAGUAAUGUCGGGAACUCCAGGGAGACUGCCGGUGAUAAACCGGAGGAAGGUGGGGACGACGUCAAGUCAUCAUGGCCCUUACGAGUAGGGCUACACACGUGCUACAAUGGCGCAUACAGAGGGCAGCAAGCUAGCGAUAGUGAGCGAAUCCCAAAAAGUGCGUCGUAGUCCGGAUUGGAGUCUGCAACUCGACUCCAUGAAGUCGGAAUCGCUAGUAAUCGUAGAUCAGAAUGCUACGGUGAAUACGUUCCCGGGCCUUGUACACACCGCCCGUCACACCAUGGGAGUGGGCUGCAAAAGAAGUGGGUAGUUUAACUUCUCGGGGAGGACGCUCUCACCACUUUGU
rnacentral:rRNA from 1 species